rnacentral:lncRNA from 1 species
GUCUGAGACUAGGAGAGCUGGGAAGUGGAGACCUGGGUUCUGUCUGGGAAAACCACACGGAGAUCUCAUGCUUCUCCACUGCUAUCCACCUCUUGUUGUGGGUUACACGAAGGUGAAGUGGGGGAAGUGGCGUGGGGCUGAGAAUUCAAGGCAUAGUUGGUCUCCCCAUUCCAGCCUUUGCUCCCAACUGCUGGUGGCCUUGGACAAGCUGUCUACACUUUCUGGGCCUUAUGUCCUCAUCUUUCAGGAAGGGAUACCAACAUCAUUCCUGCUGUCUCCCCACUUCCCCAGGGUGUUGGGAGGAUAAGGUUUCUGCCCCAAAUUCACACACUCCCUCCUAUCACCAAAGCCACCCGCCACCGCUGGCCUCCUGCAUGCUGUGGGAGGAGAGGAGGGCAGACAACGUUGCCUCCCCUGACUCCCAUCGCGCGGGCUUGUGAGUCCAUGGAGCGCAGUUGUCCAGGGAACUAUCCGAUGCAGCAUGAGAGGAAGGUGAUGCAGCGGCAUCCCACCUUGAGAUGAGAGAAAGCUGUUCUGGGCUUCCAGUGAUUGGCAGCUGAGGUCACUCCUUUGCCCAUACCCCCGCCCCGAGACUGUUUCCAGUGCCCCAAGUUCACCUCAAGGAUCAUUGCACAGCAGAAGUGAGUUUUACUUAGGUUGAGACACUCACAUAUAGGGAAUGCAGAAUAAAUCCCAUCCCUUCCUCAGCCAGCAGGGGCAAGGCCCUGAGAAGGAGAACAUCGUGUAGGUACAGGCCAACCCCAGGGGCCUCUCACAGGGCCCUCCUCAUCAUCACUCACCUCUCUAUUCAGCAAACACUCAGUGAGACAACCAUGGACCCUAGGGAUGCAACAGUGAAGGAGACGCAGCCUUUCAACACCUGGCAGGGCAGAGACACUUCAACAGUCAUUGCCAGCCCCAGUGGACAGUAAGUGUGAUGGCAGGGAAGCCCAGCAUGCGACACUUGCACUUAGGAGGGACAGAUGACAGGUGGCUGACCUUUCUUGCUUGCUUGCUUGCUUGCUUUUUUUCUUUUUCUUUUUUCUUUCUUUUUUUUUUUUUGAGACAGAGUCUUGCUCUGUCACCCAGGCUGGAGUGCAACGGCACAAUCACGGCUCACUGCAACCUCUACCUCCCGGAUUCAAGUGAUUCUCCUGCCUCAACCUCCUGAGUAGCUGGGAUUACAGGUGUGCGCUACCACGCCUGGCUAAUUUCUGUAUUUUUAGUAGAGACGGGGUUUCACCAUGUUGGUCAGGCUGGUCUCAAACUCCUGACCUCGUGAUCCACUGGCCUCGAACUUCCAAAGUGCCGGGAUUACAGGUAUGAGCCACCGUGCCCGGCCAGCUGACCUUUCUUAAAAGAUGCGUAGGUGUUGUUGGGUGCAGUGGCUCACACCUGUAAUCCCAACACUUUCUGGUAGGCUGAGGUGGGCAGAUCGCUUGAGCCCAGGAGUUUGAGACCAGCCUGGGCAACAUGAUGAAACCCUGUAUCCACAAAAAAUACAAAAAUUAGCCAGGCAGGGUGGCACAAACAUGUGGUCCCAGCUACUAGGGAGGCUGAUGUGGGAGGAUUGCUUGAGACUGGGAGGUCAAGGCUGUAGUGAGCUGUGGUCGCACCACUGCACUCCAGCCUGGGCGACAGAGCAAGGCCCUGUAAAAAAAAAAAAAUUAAUUAAUUAAUUAAAAAAAAAAGAUAUGUAGGUCUCAAUCAUCUCAACAACUGAAGAAGAGAAGGAGAAAAGGGAUUCUAGGAGAAGGAACAAUGUGUGAGACAGAAUGACUGAAAAGCAACUUCAAGUCCUGCAGAGUAUGACAGGAAGCAUGGGUGGCGGGGAAGCAAAGGCAGAAAAUGAGAGCCAUUGGGCUCAUCUAUUUAUGCCAAGCACUGUUCUGUGUGCUGAGGGCACCAUGCUGAGCAAGAGGGUGCUCCCUGCUCUCAUGGAACCUCCAUUCUAGUGGGGGAGACAGUAAAAACCAACCAAGCAACCUAACAGAGUCGUAAAUGCCGUGCAGAAGAUGACUGCGGAAAGGCGGGGCGCGGCAGCUGGAAGAAUCUUUCUUUCUUUUUUUUUUUUU